rnacentral:sRNA from 1 species
CCAAAUAUUGUGGCAUACCUAUAUAUGAUCUCAUUCCUCUUUAUUUUGAAGUGCCUAGAACACUAGUCUUCUUCUUUUCAUGGUUACGAAAAUGUUUACAGAAAAUCAUGGAUGAUUCAAGAAAAUAGACCACUUUUUGAGAUACUUUUCCGUAAACCCUAAGUAUAUCCAUAAUAUCUCUACAUUGACCAAUGACAAAUAGUAGUUUAGAUAUUGAUGGACUUAUGGGAGCUAGUUUUUAUUAUUAACUAGAUUUUAACCCGCGGUAUACCGCGGGACGAUUUAUUUUUAAAAGUAAUAUAUAUUAAAACUUGCAAAUUUUAUUUUUACAAAAUAUUUAUAUUUUACAGUUUAUAAUUGUUAUUAAGUAACGCUAUACCACGAAUUCAUGAGACAAUUGUUAAAAAAACUGAAGUUUUGACCCCUAUUAAAACAGCAUAUUAAUAAUAUUUUAAAAUUUUAUAAAUAUUGAUUCAAAUACAUCCACCAUAUAACCCAAUUCCAAAAUAAAACACGUUCUGUAAUUUCUUUACCCGUCCCAUGAUUAUUUUUUUAAGUAGUAAUUUUUAAAAUUUUAGAAUUAU